CAGGAUGGAGGAGCUGAUCCAGAGGACCAUGAGAAACAAGUGUUCCAGGUGCAGAUUGCCUUUUUCCUCUGGUGGCAUCAGGCAGUAGAGGUCGUCUGACUCCAGUUCAGAUGCAAGGAUCAAGGUCAGAAUCGCUCGUCUCCAGCUGGAAGCACAGGAAAAGGAGAGGG